GGACAAGUAGCCAAGUAGAGGAAAGGAAAGGAGAAGGAAGGAGGGAGUAAAAAUGCCUGUUGAAGCCAGAGCUUGAGAUUAAUGAAUUCUGCGCUGAGCCCAACCCUCAGAGAAGCAAGAUUCAGCUCCCAGCCAAGCCUUUUCACAACUGCAGUUUCCUCUUCUGCACAAGGAGAAGGUGGCUGACUUAGCAGAGUCUGCAGAUAAAGAUGAAAGGCACAGCAGAACACACAGCAGCCAGAACACUGGGAAUCACGGCUGGACUGCCACAUCCAACCUCCCAGAACUGCAGGAAGGAGUCUGAGCCUGCCAAUCCUUCAGCCCCAGAGCUAAGAAGAGGAACUAUAGUGAGAUCCAGAUGCUUCCAGACUCUUCAGAUGGAGUGACGGAGUGCUGUGGGAAGAUCAGCGUGAAAUGCAGGAGCAGUGCUUGAAUCAAGGAUGAGAAAAAGCCUCUCCUGUAGGGAGUUGUCUCCAAAUACCCACACCUUGUGUUUUGACUUCUAGACACCAGUAGCUAUUGACAUUUUUAAAGGGAACUGAGGCAUCUACAAAGAGGAUACAGAUUCUCAUCUGGUCUAGGCACAUUCCUUUGAAGGAGAAAGAACUUGGGUUCACAUUGUGCAAUUCACCACUUCAUGUUUGAUGCUUUAGGUAGCUGUAGACCUCUUUGCAUCUUAAUCUCAGACACCUUUGUGUGCCUUUUCAUGUAUUACGCCAGAGCCUGGGGCCAAGCAACAGGCUGUAAAUUCCACUCUGGCAGCCAGGACUCUACCAGGAAUGGCAAGGAUAUCAGCAGUGUGGCAGAGACAGUGCAAACACCUUCAAAUAACAUACCACUUUAUCCAGUUGCUGUUUGGAGGAGUUACCACCGUAUGGAAAGAUGAUUG
rnacentral:lncRNA from 1 species